UAGGGAAUCUUCGGCAAUGGACGGAAGUCUGACCGAGCAACGCCGCGUGAGUGAAGAAGGUUUUCGGAUCGUAGAGCUCUGUUGUAAGAGAAGAACGAGUGUGAGAGUGGAAAGUUCACACUGUGACGGUAUCUUACCAGAAAGGGACGGCUAACUACGUGCCAGCAGCCGCGGUAAUACGUAGGUCCCGAGCGUUGUCCGGAUUUAUUGGGCGUAAAGCGAGCGCAGGCGGUUAGAUAAGUCUGAAGUUAAAGGCUGUGGCUUAACCAUAGUACGCUUUGGAAACUGUUUAACUUGAGUGCAAGAGGGGAGAGUGGAAUUCCAUGUGUAGCGGUGAAAUGCGUAGAUAUAUGGAGGAACACCGGUGGCGAAAGCGGCUCUCUGGCUUGUAACUGACGCUGAGGCUCGAAAGCGUGGGGAGCAAACAGGAUUAGAUACCCUGGUAGUCCACGCCGUAAACGAUGAGUGCUAGGUGUUAGACCCUUUCCGGGGUUUAGUGCCGCAGCUAACGCAUUAAGCACUCCGCCUGGGGAGUACGGCCGCAAGGUUGA
rnacentral:rRNA from 1 species